CGAGGAAUUGAACCUGCAUCCUCAUGGAUACUUGUUGACUUCAUUUCCACUGAACCACGACAGGAACUCCACAUCCAGUCUUUUCUAACUGCGUUUCACUUCCCUUUUUGGAGUAAAACGUCCUUCAGUUCUUCUGUGGUAGAUCAACAAGUCACCUUGGUGAGCACAGCACAAAAUCUCCCAUGUCUUUGUGGCUGUAAGGUCGAAGCAGGAAACCCACAGGGUAAGUCAUGCCCAGUCCCUGUGAUGUGAGGUCGAGAGCCAGAGCUUUGUCUUGCGCAAGAAGCAGUUCUCCUUUUGUUUAGCAGGGGAUGUUGUCACUUCGGGGCAAGGGGUUUAAAGCCCCGGCUGCUCCAUCCCGGGCUGUGUCCUGCUGUGAAGAUUUUUCUGCCUGGUCAGCUGUGCUGCCUGGUGUGGGAGGUGUCAGCUGAGGCACGGCCAUGCCCCCAAGGGUCAUUUUUCUGCUCGGACUUGGUGAGGAUGGCAAGGGAGGUUGUGUGGGAGGCUGGCAAGGGAAGAGGCUGUGGAGAAAGAGGUUCAUAACCCGGGUUCCUCUCAUGCUCCUCUUCCUCUGUGAGGUCCUGGGGCCAGCGGGUUACAGGUUCUUUCGUUUGAUCUAGACCUGGUGCCCUGAACUCACCAGUUUGGGAAUCCUUGUAUUUUGCGGAGCUCUUUCUUACCGAGCCUUUCUCUGUUUUAGUGUUUUGCUGGGACCAAAGGAUUUGGGCACAGACUGACCUCUACCCUUCUCUGGAAAGCUUCCUGGUCUCCAGCCCUUUCCCGUCAUCACGGAUGAGUCAAGAGGAAGAUGCUCAGGUUUUACAAAAAUGCAGCAAGGUGACUCAGCUGAGGUCGGCAUUCACCAUGUGGAGAACUGGGGACAUUGCUCUUCUGCAGAAGGUCUGUUCACAGGAAGACACUCUCGCCCAGGAGAUGAACUUGAAGUAGAAUGAAGACCUUGGCAUUCCCGUCAUGGCGCAGUGGUUAAUGAAUCUGAAUAGGAACCAUGAGGCUGCAGAUCUACCUGAAAUCUACCUAAAUCCUCCUGAAAAUGGAUAUCUUCCCAUUGUGAUUGGGACCUCAGCCAUCAGUGUUCUCCCUCUCUUCCUCCUCUUCCUCCUCCUCUGCCAUUGCUGGUGUCGAGCCAAACACAGGGCCACGGAUGAUGAGACCAAGAGCCAAGUGCAGUAUGACAGCUCCGGCCCAGGCUUGAACUUUGCAGAAGACAAUCAAUCUAAGAGGAGUGAGAAGGAGGGGCAACCGGGGUAGGGAAAGAUGUGUUCAGGAGAAGAUAGACGGCCUCCCGGAAGGAGCAGAGACGUGGCACACACCUCACUGGGUGGUGUCUCAGUGGAUAUCGCCUCUGAGGGGGACAGACAGAUGGACAUGGAGGUGAGGCUUUCCUCCUUCCCCCGAGGCCUCCCCCCCCCCCCGCCCCGUGUUCUCCCCUCACCUUGUAUCUUCUUGCUGACAGGCCCUCCCAGAGGAAGACCCACAGGACGUGAUCUCUGUUCAGCAACACUGAGAUUCCCUGAUGGGGAGUGUGGAUUCAGAGUUCUCCUGCACCCUUGAGGAAUCCUUGUGAUAGCCCUGUGUGUAUAUCACCCUCCCCUGGUCUUGAGUGCAGAGCCAGAACUGGCCAUGUGGACUCCAGCGCUUAAGGGCCCCUUAAGGAAGAUGCGGCGUCCCACUCGUGUCCCCCACAGCAGCAGCAUCUUGGAGCUCCCCAAAGACUCAAGAAUAGAGAAGCCUUGUCACCUGUCAAGAAAUUCUGGGAUGCAUCGCAUCCCUCAACCGAUUCCUGGUUCCUUCUGUUUUUAUCCCCUCAUUUGCUUAUUUAACAGAUAUUCGCAGAAGUUGACUCUUCCUUUGCACCUGUGCUGAGGAGGGACAGAUCAGUAGGACACAGCUCCUGGUCUUAAGGAGUGCCUGGCCUCCUGAGAGAGGCAAACCUUAUGAUCGCUUGGGCCCUUAGAAAGCAAAGAGGGGGUGAGCUACUGGAGCAGGGGAAGGAUGAUGUGGGCGACACAGGAAUACUCAUCCGGGUGCAUUUAAGGAGGACCCACAGGUACCCAACGCAAGGAGAAGUCAAGAAGACAUAGGAGUCAAACUGGGCGGGAGGGAGUUCCUGGUGGCAUUUUGCUCCAAUGCUCUAGGUUUUGUGUGAGCUGAAGCCUUCAGAGCAGCAAAAGGCGAACAAGAAAGAUUCUUUGUAAAGGAACCAAAUUGCAACUAUUUGACCGGAAGAAGGAUUUCUCUUGGGGAGGGGAAUGGUGCAGAGGGUGUUUGGGGGGGGGUAUGGUUUCCCUCUAGUUUUGGUGAAUUUCACUUUUUAGUUAUGCAAUGAAAAGAAAUAGAAUACAAUAUAACGAGAUGGGAGUGGCAGGAGAGGAAUUGGAGUUGGUAUUAAAGUAGAUGCGAAUGAUUACAUUUGAGAUGGAUGAGCAGUGAGGUCCUACAGUACAGCACAGGGGACUCUGUCCAGUCUCUUGGGAGAGACUAUGAUGGAAGAUAAUAGGAGAAAAAGAAUUUGUGUGACUGGGGCACUCUGCUGCACAGCAGAAAUUGGCACAACACUGUAAUAAAAAACCAAAAAAAAUACAAAAAAAUUCAGUUCAGUUUUGGCACCAGGACGUAGAGAAGAAAGUUAAUGGCAGGGCCAGUGAAAUACAGCACAGUGGUUUGGAGUGGAGAGUAGGAGUAAGAGAGGGAAAUCGAGCAUGCGUGUUGAUUGAUGGAAAGAAAUAUGGGGAGCGCAUAAUGUGGAUGAUAUUGGGGAGUGACCAUCAGUGGGACAGGGUAGCAUUGAGAGCCCCGACUCGGGAAUAGAUGGGUUAACCUGGGUUCAGAUUUCUCCUUCUGUACCCACUUGCUGCACGGUCACGCACACACUUCAAAAUGAUUCUCUGAGCCAGAAGGACACUUGUCAUUGAUGGAGGAGGAAAUCCAAGCUCAUGCGAGCACGGGCUAAGAUGCAAUCUUUUCGGAAUUAGAGAAAUAAAGAUUCCAACAACGACAUGCCGUUGCUUCCCUUCCAUCUGCUAUGAUGGAAUUGCGGCCACCUCCAAACUCCUAUGUCAAAUGUCGCAACCCCCAGGACCUCAGAAUGGGGCCUUCUUUGGAAAUGAGGUCAUCGCAAGUGUGCUUACCCAGGAUGAAGACAUACUGGAGCAGGACGGCUUCUCACCCAGCAUGACUUGUGUCCUUAUUUAAAAACAAGGAAACGAUGGAGUUCCUGUUGUGGUGCAGCGGAAAUGAAUCUGACCGGAACCAUGAGGUUGCAGGUUCCAUCACUGUGUCCUCGCUCCGUGGGUUAAGGAUCUGGUGUUGCCGUGAGCCGUGGUGCAGGUCGGAGACGUGGCUUGGAUCCCGCGUUGCCGUGGCUAUGGCGUAGGCUGGCGGGGGCAGCUCUGAUUCUACCCCUAGCCUAGGAACCUCCAUAUGCCGCGGGGGAGGCCCUAAAAAGAAAAAAAAAAAUGUAAAAAAAGGAAAUUGUGACACAGACAUGCACAGAGGGACAGCACGGUGUGAACCUGAAGGUGGAGAUUGGAGUGGUGUAUCCAUGAGCCAAGGAGCCCCAAAGCCUGCCAGCCAGCCACCAGGACCCGGGAGAGAGAUGUGUGCCUGGUUUCCCCCCACAGUUCUCAGAAGGAACCUCCUGCCAGCACCCCGAUCUCAGACUUCCACCUUCCAGAACCAUGACACAGGACCCUUCCAUGUCCAGGCUACUCCGUUUGCCAUACUUUGUUAUGGCA
rnacentral:lncRNA from 9 species